AAUUGAUGAGCAGUAUGGCAAACAGUAAUACGUAAAAAGUAGCAAAAUAUAGGUAUGAAGUUUGCGAGGCAAGUAAAACAUUAUGAGAAGCGAUUACAUUGAUAAAAUCUUGUGAAAAUCAAUGCCAACAUACGUAAAGCCUCGGCCAGAGUAUGGCCACAUGAGUAUAAUUAAAUUGUGUACAAAUAAAGUUAAUGGAACUUGUU
rnacentral:misc_RNA from 1 species